rnacentral:rRNA from 1 species
UGGGGAAUUUUGGACAAUGGGCGCAAGCCUGAUCCAGCCAUGCCGCGUGCAGGAUGAAGGCCUUCGGGUUGUAAACUGCUUUUGUACGGAACGAAAAGACUCUGGUUAAUACCUGGGGUCCAUGACGGUACCGUAAGAAUAAGCACCGGCUAACUACGUGCCAGCAGCCGCGGUAAUACGUAGGGUGCGAGCGUUAAUCGGAAUUACUGGGCGUAAAGCGUGCGCAGGCGGUUAUGUAAGACAGAUGUGAAAUCCCCGGGCGCAAACUGGGAACUGCAUUUGUGACUGCAUAGCUAGAGGACGGCAGAGUGUGAUGGAAUUCCGCGUGUAGCAGUGAAAUGCGUAGAUAUGCGGAGGAACACCGAUGGCGAAGGCAAUCCCCUGGGCCUGUACUGGAGCUCAUGCACGAAAGCGUGGGGAGUAAACA